ACGAGAAAGUGGAGCAAUCCAUGAGUACAGUGGCGUACGGGUGAGUAACACGUGGGUUAUCUACCUCUUAGUGGGGAAUAACUCUGGGAAACCGGAGCUAAUACCGCAUAAUCCUGAGAAGGGAAAGCAGCAAUGCGCUGAGAGAGGAGCCCGCGGCCGAUUAGCUAGUUGGUAGGGUAAAGGCCUACCAAGGCAAUGAUCGGUAGCCGGCCUGAGAGGGCACACGGCCACACUGGCACUGAAACACGGGCCAGACUCCUACGGGAGGCAGCAGUGGGGAAUCUUGCACAAUGGGGGAAACCCUGAUGCAGCGACGCCGCGUGAGCGAUGAAGCCCUUCGGGGCGUAAAGCUCUUUCGGCAGGAACGAUAGUGACGGUACCUGAAGAAGAAGCUGCGGCUAACUACGUGCCAGCAGCCGCGGUAAUACGUAGGCAGCAAGCGUUGUUCGGAGUUACUGGGCGUAAAGAGUGUGUAGGCUGUUCUCUAAGUUUGGUGUGAAAUCUCCCGGCUCAACUGGGAGGGUGCGCCGAAAACUGGAGGGCUUGAGUAUGGGAGAGGAAAGCGGAAUUCCUGGUGUAGCGGUGAAAUGCGUAGAUAUCAGGAGGAACACCUGCGGUGUAGACAGCUUUCUGGACCAUCACUGACGCUGAGACACGAAAGCGUGGGUAGCAAACAGGAUUAGAUACCCUGGUAGUCCACGCCCUAAACGAUGCAUACUUGGGUGUGAGCCGUUCAUUCGGUUCGUGCCGGAGCUAACGCGUUAAGUAUGC
rnacentral:rRNA from 1 species